AUGUCGAAUGAACGGACGAUCGAGCAUGCACACCAGCGCCGGCCGGGGGAACGUUACCGCGAGCUCGCCGGCUGUGGCGAUGUUGACCUGCGCGUGGGGCCUCGUGGCGCCGAGGAGCGCGGUGAACUGGCUGGCCGUGACGAGCAAGAGGCAGUACAUUAUGAACUUGCGGUACCGGUGGCUGAUCCGCCGGAGCUGGUCACGGAUUCGGCGGUGCUGCCCCAGCACGGCGGCCACGUCGGCGCACUGGCCGAAGUCCCGCGCGAAGCCCGUCAUGCGCAGGAUCUGCAGGUAGCAUAUGAUCCGGAACAGCACGCAGGCCAUGAAGAACAUGGCCGUGCGGUACAUCCACGACGCCAUCUCCAUGGCGCACGCGGCGGCGGACCACCACGCCGGGAAGGGCCGGUGCGCGCAGUACCAGAACACCUUGUAGGCGGCGUCGGCGAGGAAGCAGGGCAGGACGAAGCAGGCGAGGAGGUGGAAGGACCCCGCGAGCUGCACGGUGUAGCCGGCGCGCACGUCCUGGGAGUCGUGGCGGAGGCGGUCCAGGUAGAGCAGCCGGCGCAGGCCGCGGCGGCGGAUGAGCGAGGUGAGCGUGAGGUAGGCGAGCGCCGCGGAGAGCGUGAGGGAGAGCUGCACCUGCGUGUCGUAGGCGCGGCGCGGCAUGGCGACGCGCGCGGCCACGGGGACGGCCACGGCGAGGACGAAGAAGACGAGCCACGAGGCCGCGGCGCUGGAGCCGUCCGAGUGGUCGACGCACAUCCAGCGGAGGCAGGAGCGGAAGCUGCGGAGCUCGUCGCGCGCGUGCGACAUGCAGCGCUGGUACGAGCCCCUCCGCCGCAGCAGCAGCGGCGCCGACGCGGGCGAGGGCUCCUCGCCCGCCGUCGGCGACGGCGGCGCGUCCCCGGCCAUGCCCUGCGCCUUUCCCGGCCGCCGUGCCCCAACGUUCUCGGCCCCUUGUCUUGGCGAUCGUAUCCUUCGCGCGCGGCUUCCGUUUUACCGGCCGUCCUGGUGUUUAGGAGGGGUAAUAAUAAUGCUGUAUCGAGGCAUUGA
rnacentral:rRNA from 1 species